rnacentral:lncRNA from 1 species
CCCUUGUGUAUUACUUGUCAGUAAGUUUUCACUCCUCUUGUUCCAACUUCAGGCAGGAAAUAGAUGACUGGGUCACUCUGAUAUCUUCAGUCUGCAGGGAGGACAAAAGCGGAUGCUGCCCUCAGAACCAAGAUCUUCCAAAUCCAGAAGUCAGAAGCCGGACUUCCUCUUUGCCACUAUUCCUGAGUUCUGUAGAUAUGACCAGCCUUCCUGACAGGCAAAGCUACCAGAAGGAGAAUGUUUCCUCAGAAGACAAGAACAGGCCUUAUUCAGAUCCUGGCCCCCAUCAGGCUCAGUGUCACCCACCAAGAGGAGUUUUUCCAAGCCUGCAGGAUAAAAUUCUGGGAAGAAGUGAGGAAAACCUGCUGCUGUCAGAUCCAGAGGAAAACAUCAAAAAGGAUGAAGAAGAUUAUUACCAAACUCCC